rnacentral:misc_RNA from 1 species
AAAACUACAACUUCAGGUAACAAAGAGUUGACAGUUUUAUUUAUAUGUUGCUGAAUUUCUUUGGAUAAAGAAACAAGUCAUAUUGUUGUUGUCCUUCAAAUUUGGCCAAUGUUUAGCCUAUGCUCCUUUUUUUUCUUCAAAUGAUUUAGCAUAGCCUACUUUGAUCACUUGAUAUAGAAAUAGGCCUUUGGACAUGCAUUCACUUAACCAUAAAUAUCAUGUUGCCUUUCUAAGAGAUUAUUCAAUUAAAUGAGAAUGAAAGGGACUUAAGGAAGCUUUUUGCAAUCUAUUGUCUCUUAGAAGAAAGAUUUUGGGUUUUGGGCUUCAAAUUGCAUUCAUCUAUGACUACUUCACUGAAUUAAUUUAAUCUUUUUUUCUUGAUAAUCACAGUUAAU